rnacentral:misc_RNA from 1 species
AGUGUACCUGCCUAUGACAAUGCUCUUAAGGAUGCAUUUGAACGUUGUUUGGAUUUAUACUUGUGCCCUCGUGUUCGGAAGAAACGUAUUAAUAUUGAUCCUGAAUCUUUGAAACCUAAGCUGCCAAACCGGAAAGAUCUUAAACCUUAUCCAACUACAUGCUAUCUUGAAUAUAGAGGUCAUAAGGAUGCUGUAAUGUCCAUUUCAACUGAAG